rnacentral:rRNA from 1 species
UACGAAGGGUGCAAGCGUUGUUCGGAAUUAUUGGGUGUAAAGGGUUCGUAGGCGGGAAUUUAAGUCGAGUGUGAAAUCCUCAAGCUUAACUUGAGACGUGCAUUCGAAACUAUUUUUCUUGAGUAUUGGAGAGGGAAGGGGAAUUGCUGGUGUAGGAGUGACAUCCGUAGAGAUCAGCAGGAACACCGGAGGCGAAGGCGCCUUCCUGGCCAAAUACUGACGCUGAGGAACGAAAGCGUGGGGAGCAAACAGG